rnacentral:tRNA from 1 species
GGAAUAUAGCUCAGUUGGUAGAGUGCUUGCCUUGCAUGUACCAAGGUCCUGGGUUCAAAUCCCCAGUACCA